rnacentral:tRNA from 1 species
GGAAGUAUUGGUCAAGUAGUAGAUCAUCUGCUUAGCAAGCACAAAGCACUGAGUUCAAACCCCAGUACUUCCA